rnacentral:rRNA from 1 species
AAUGAACGUUGGCGGCGUGGAUUAGGCAUGCAAGUCGGACGGGCCGCAAGGCCAGUGGCGCAAGGGUGAGUAAGGCGACGGUAACCAACCCCGCGGGUGGGCAUAGCCGGGGGAAACCCCGGGUAAUUCCCAGCGACGUACGAGGCCGGCAUCGGCCUGGUACCAAAGAUUCAUCGCCGCGGGACGGGCCGUUGUGGUAUUAGGUUGUUGGCGGGGUGACGGCCCACCAAGCCUGCGAUGCCUACCGGGCGUGCGAGCGUGGCCCGGCACACUGGGACUGAGACACUGCCCAGACUCCUACGGGAGGCUGCAGUCGAGAAUCUUCGGCAAUGGGCGCAAGCCUGACCGAGCGACGCCGCGUGGAGGACGAAGGCCUUCGGGUUGUAAACUCCUGUCGAGGGGGAGGAAGGCGCAAGCUUGACCGAUCCCUGGAGGAAGCACGGGCUAAGUUCGUGCCAGCCGCCGCAGUAAUAC